rnacentral:rRNA from 1 species
ACGGGGUGCAGCAGGCGCGAAAACUGACCAAUGCGCGAAAGCGUGAGUCGGUCAAUCCGAGUGUAGACCCAUCGGUUUACUUUUGUCAUGUGUACAACGCUUGGCGAAUAAUGUGAGGGCAAGACUGGUGCCAGCCGCCGCGGUAAAACCAGCUCAUAGAGUGGUGAUCAUGAUUAUUUGGCUUAAAGUGUGCGUAGUAGGGAAUUCUAAGUCCUCUGUGAAAUGUCAGGUCUUAAGCUUGACACGUGCAGAGGAUACUGGAAUCCUUGGGACUGGGAUAGGUGUAAUGUACGGUUUGGGUAGGGGUGAAAUCCGAUAAUCCAAGCCGGACAACCGGUGGCGAAGGCGUUACACUGGAACAGGUCCGACUGUGAGGCACGAAAGCUAGGGUCGCGAGCCGGAUUAGAUACCCGGGUAGUCCUAUGCUGUAAACGAUGCUCACUAAGUGUUAGGUAAUGCAAGACAUUCUCUAGUGCCGAAGCGAAAGCGUUAAGUGAGCCGCCUGGGAAGUACGUUCGCAAGAAUGAAACUUAAAGGAAUUGGCGGGGGCCUACUACAAGAAGUGGAGCCUGCGGUUUAAUUGGACUCAACUCCGGGAAACUCACCUGGGCCGUAACGUGGAUGAUUGUCCUGUUGAAGACACUGCUUGACGCGUUACUGGAGGUGCAUGGCCAUCGUCAGUUCGUGCCGUGAGGUGUCCUGUUAAGUCAGGCAACGAACGAGAUCCCUACCGUCAAUUGC